GAGGGGAAUAGGCGCCUCCUAACAACUUUCAGCACCUUUACCAAACUACAGUUCCCAGGAUACUUUGGAGGGAAGAGGAGCUGUGACUUUUCUAAAGCAGCAUGAAACUGCUUUCAGUGUAUAAUGCAGAUGAGGCCUAAGAUUUCCUUCAGAGUAGGCAUAGAUAGGACUGUGUUGUUACCUGGGAGUAAGCCCCAUUGAGCAAUGGAGGUUAAUUCCAAGUAGGCAGGCCUAAUAUCGGAUUGCACAUCUAUUAAGAGUCCUAGUAAGACAUUUUCAACACGAUUAUAGAGCAGGAGAAAAGAUACUUACAUAAGAAAGUCAUUUUGAAAAAUAAAAGUGCAAAUGAAAUGAAUCAGAACUAGUCCUGGGCCUUGACAGUAGCCCGAUAUGCAGACCAGUAGCAAUUCAUAAAGCUAUUUCCACCACUUUUGUCUCCGCACAAUGCUAAGUAUCUUUGCCAAAUGUUAUUAAAGCCAGAGGAGCAAGGCUAGUGAAAAAACAGUGGCGACUUUACACAGAAAGGGGGGAUGUGAUUGCAACUGUACAAAUGUGACUGGGCAGCGGAAGUGAGAAGCGUAACAAGGACCAUCUGUAUUAUCUGUGAAUGGAAAUACAUUUGGCAAUAUUUCACAGGCUUGUCAAGUAAGGAGAUAUUACCCCUCGACUUUGAAGGAAGGUAAUGAGUCAGAGAGCAAAGACCAUACAGGAACUGCGCAAUUCAAAUACGUAAACAAAUGAACAGAAUGAAACAUAUCUUUUAGUGAAACCACUAAAGACUCCAUUACACAAACACAGCUGUUCAUACUCUUGGCAGUACCACUUUGGCUAUUAAUUUGAAUCGCGCUGAAAAGAAAGGUGGAAAUUGUGGACAGAUUUACACCAGGGAAAGUAAAUAACAGUGGUGGUGAAAAUGGGGUGAAAUCAGCAGAUGCAGAGGAACAAGAAAUUCCAGUAAAACAUUUUCUUCACAUCACUGUGCUUAGAGUACCAAAUGCAUGAUGAAGAGGUUCUCUGGAAACAUGCAAUCUGCGUGCCGCUGAAUUGCAGUCUGUGUUCUGAAUAUUAAUUUGAUUCAAGGUAGUGCCUGAAAGGACUUCGGAAGGAAAUUACAAAUUAUGGGAAUUAGAUAUUACAUGGAAAUGCUUUAGCAUCUAUAACUGGGACAAAUUCCAAGUAACUGCCUUUGCAAUAUAGGACUGCUGCUGAGUCAUCCCACACUGCUCUAUAACAGUGCCUUAUUUUUGAUUAUUCAUGCUGGCAUGGCCUUAAGAGUUUCAAUAUCAUCAAGAAAUAAUCUAAGAUAUAAAAAGGACUCUGAAGAUUUUCUUUGAGAAGAAAUAAGGAGCCUGUAGGGUGGGUGGAACUGAUUCAAUUUAUUAAGCCUUAUUUCCUGUUUCAUUUACCAACCUAUCUAGCAGCAUGCUCAUCAAGAUUUGCUGCUGCAAAUCAGAUUUUAGUAUGCAAACACUUAAGAUUGAGCUGUGCCAAUAGCUAUGCCAGCACAACACCACAAAAUGUAAUAUUUGCCCAUGCCAAAAUCAAAGGAGAUGGUAGAAGCAUGGUAGAGAGCCCUUAUAGACUAGUUUCUCACUCCCAGGUGUAUUCUGCAACAUUUCAUUGAUGCAAUAUCCGCGCAUUAGUGAUGGAUUUAUACAGGACCGCCAACACAUCAUUUCACUUGUGCAAUGCUGCCCCAAUGUUACUACAUUUUUGCUCUCUGCAGGGAUGCUGUUCCACUAUACAGAACCAAAAGCGGGACAAAACCUUAGCACAAUUGUGGUAUAAAAAGUUACAGGAUUUCUGCAGGAAGUAUCGGGAUGUACAUUGAUUGGAAACAAAGCAGUAUGUCAAGUAUUCAAAGCAGGAUUGUACAGUAUAUAACUGCCCUGAUAUCAUCCUGAGCACGAAUCAUAAUGAAUGCACAAUUAAAAAUAUAUGCUUGGAGGACUGUUGCCAUGUCGGCCAUGAGAGAUUGCCCCAAGAGACUGCAACCCUUCAAAAGAAAAGAAAAAAGUCUUCUGGUGCAGUGUAAUCUAUGUGAUUUAAGGAAUAAAUUAGGAGUGUGUAGGGAGAAGAGUGUGGCUCUGUCCUAAAAUAGAAAACUGUUGCAUGUUUUUACAAAAAUCAGAUGCGCCUGGUGGUUUGCUGGGUUUGUUGCAAGCAUGAAGGUGGUAAGAUCAAACAUUUACCCUGUUCGUAAUUAAAAGGAUUUUGAGAAUUCAUCUUUCUAUUUUCUAUUUUCCACCUAGCAAAUCUUGGAUACAAAAUUACAGAGCAGUUUCUGGGCAGCAAACUUGUGGGUGGCAUAUACAUAAUGCCAGCCAAGGUUAACAUAGAAAGUCUCUGAUCAAACUGUAUCUCCUGGAGGGUGUGUGACAUUUUCA